rnacentral:misc_RNA from 1 species
UUUUGGCGCCAAAUCGCGAAGUGAAACGAGGCUAGUUUUUAAAAGCCAACCGCAAAAUGUACCCUUCGAAGGCUCAAUAUUUGAAAUAUGUUGAAGAACAGUGGAAAAUUAGCGGGUAAAACAUUGUUCAUCACCGGCGCAAGCCGUGGAAUUGGGAAGGCCAUUGCAUUAAAAGCUGCCCAAGAUGGAGCAAAUAUUGUUAUCGCCGCUAAAACCACCGAACCUCAUCCAAAACUGCCUGGAACGAUAUACACCGCAGCAAAAGAAGUUGAGGAGGCAGGAGGAAAGUGCCUUCCCUGUGCAGUGGAUAUUCGUGAUGAAAAUGCUGUCAACAGCGCUGUACAAGAGGCUGUAAAGACAUUUGGUGGGAUUGACAUACUUGUUAACAAUGCUAGUGCAAUAAGCCUGACAGGGACCUUGGAUACGCCAGUGAAAAAAUAUGAUCUAAUGAAUAAUAUCAAUGUAAGAGGGACAUUUUUGUGCUCCAAAGCAAUUAUUCCUUAUUUAAAGAAAGCAGAGAAUCCUCACAUUUUAAAUGUGACACCACCUUUAAAUAUCAGACAUGCCUGGUUCAAAGAACACAUUGCAUAUUCAUUGUCAAAAUAUGGAAUGUCAUUGUGUGUCCUUGGAAUGUCUCAAGAAUUCAAGGAUGAUGGGAUUGCAGUUAAUGCACUGUGGCCUAACAAAGGUAUUGCCACUGUUGCUGUCAUGGUUACUGCAGGGAAACAAGGCUUAGUGUACUGUCGAAUAGAUAAGUUUUUUGCUGAUGCUGCAUAUUUCAUGUUGACAAGGGACAGUAAAACUAGGACAGGGGAGUUUCUCUAUGAUGAGGAUGUUCUCAAGGAGGCAGGAAUCACUGACUUUGAACAGUAUUCCUAUAUUCCAGCUGGUGCGCCUGUGCCAGACAGUUUCAUUGAUGGUUAUUCUCCCACACUGCAAGGAAAUGGCUCUAAGGACACCCGGAAAGCUGCCUCUCGUGGGAUUCAAUUGAGACAGGUGGCAGAUAUUUUUGAUGCCAUUACAAAUUUUGUUGAUGAAAAGCUCAUUCAGAAGGUGAAUGCAGUCUUUGAGUUUCAUUUAACAGGAAAGGAACCUGGAGUGUGGUAUCUUGAUCUUAAAAGCAGUACAGGUGAGGUCGGCAAAGGUUCUUUUUCAGGAGAUGAGGUGAACAGUACAAUAAUGUUAGACUCCGAGGACUUUGUUAAAUUGUUCACUGGUGAACUUAAUCCAGCACAAGCAUAUUUGGGAGGAAAACUCCAGAUUACAGGAAGUAUGCAUAAAUUUAUGAGACUGGAGAAUCAGCUCCUUCACAAGAUGAAAUCCAAAUUAUGAACAUUACUGUUUUUGAGAAAAUUUAGUCCUGUACAAAGCAAAAAUAAUAACAAUUAUAGUAAUAAUAAUAAUAAUAGUUAUUGUUAUCAUCUUUGUUGCUUUUAUUAUUUGUUGUUUAAGUAUUGGUAUCAUCAUUACUGUUAAACUGUGUUAAACUUUAUAGAAUUUAGGCCUUUUCUAAAGAUGAAGCUGAAGGUAUUUAAACAUUUUCAUGAUGAGCAAUCCAUGGCUAAUGGGUUUAGUGUAGGACAGGGGAAAGUAAGUAAGGAAGGCUGUGUCACAAGACCAAACACCAGAGUUUCUGGUAGAAAUUAUUAUGUAAAGUUUCACAUAAGAUACUAGGUGUUUUUGUUGCUUUUAUUUCCCAACUGAAUAACCCUGGUACAAAUAUUUCAUAUAAGGUUACCAAAACUGUAUAUUUAAAAUUGUGAACAAAGUUAUACAUUUCAGUUAAGUAGGUCAAAAGAUACUGAGUAACUUUUUCAACAGUAAAAUGAGACAUGUUUGUAAAUAUGUCAUAACUAAGACAGUUGCAAUGCUGUUGUUCAAUUUACUCUACAUUUCACUCUUCCAUCUUUUAGAACAAAGUGUAAAUAUUCAGAAUUUUCUCUACCAGACUGUCAGUAUAUUAAAAAGAGCCUGGGUUUGCUUAUUUCUUUGUAAUUUUGUUUCAUGUUAUUCUCUUCAAUGCUUGAUCAAAUAAACAGACACAAAUUGUGUAGGUAUUGUUUUGACAUUUAAUUGGAAAGCAUUUGUAAUGACCCGUGUUUGAAUUGAGAUCCCAAGCAAUAAGUGGCCAAGUAAAGAUCUUUUCCCUUUCCAUAGAAGGAUUUCGAGUAUUAAUUAAUUCUCCCAUACAGACCGAC